UACGGGGGGGGCAAGCGUUGUCCGGAUUUAUUGGGCGUAAAGAGCGUGUAGGCGGCCAAACAGGUCCACUGUGAAAACUCGAGGCUCAACCUCGAGAGGUCGGUGGAAACCGUCUGGCUAGAGUCCGGAAGAGGAGAGUGGAAUUCCCGGGUGAUAGCGGUGAAAUGCGCAGAUAUCAGGAAGAACACCCGUGGCGAAGGCGGCUCUCUGGAACGCAACU
rnacentral:rRNA from 1 species